GUGCCUCGUGCCAAACGUAUCCAAGCCAAGACGGUUCAUUAGCAACCGUCCUGCUGUUUCCAUGUGGAUGCGUGUCGUUAGCGUACGGGAGCCAGAAUCGCCGGACGGUUUCAGAAAAUGGACGUGCUAUGCACUCAUAACCAACCUUUCAGCUUUCAGCGGCUAACAGAGGUCUUCAUGUUUUACUGAAGUCUCCGUCGUCUUGAGUGGUCGGCGCCCCUAUUCCAGAGCACCACUGAGCCUGGCCGGCCACUUUGAGAGCGAGUUUCACCAAUCCUUCUUGGACUGUGAGCACGCCACUGUUGGAAGCGAAGCGGCCGCUUUCAAAUACGCAAUAACCGACCUGCUUGCUUCGCCACGAUCCGAAGCGCGGCAGCCCACACUAGCAGACGACGAAAGAGCGUGGUUCACAACGCCCACUGCGCCGACCUGAAUCCUGUUGCAGCUUCCGGCCAGCGGGGCCGCCGCAGAGAAGCCAUGUCUAUAUCUGUGUACUGCUCGGUACAUGCACUUUCACCAUUCGUGUAGUGAAUAUGGAAAUAAAGAGCGUCCUA